GAAGUUAAUUUUGUCGCUUACCUACUAAUUGUUCUUGGUAAGAUUUUCCUUUAGUCUCUUUUUUUUUUUUUAAAAAAAAGAGAAAAAUAUUGGUUUAUACAUACACAAGUAGUUUUAUAUUUUUCCUUAUAUUAUAUUUGUUGUAGGAAUGUUUCUAUAUGUUGAUGCCAAGGCUUGUACUAGAGAAUGUGGUAAUCUUGGGUUCGGGAUAUGCCCACGUUCAGAAGGAAGUCCGCUAAAUCCCAUAUGCAUCAAUUGUUGCUCAGGCUAUAAGGGUUGUAAUUAUUAUAAUUCUUUCGGAAAAUUUAUUUGUGAAGGAGAAUCUGAUCCAAAAAGGCCAAAUGCUUGCACCUUUAAUUGUGAUCCAAAUAUUGCCUAUUCAAGAUGUCCCCGUUCACAAGGAAAAUCGUUAAUUUAUCCCACCGGAUGUACCACAUGUUGCACAGGGUACAAGGGUUGCUAUUAUUUUGGUAAAGAUGGAAAGUUUGUAUGUGAAGGAGAGAGUGAUGAACCCAAGGCAAAUAUGUACCCUGUAAUGUGACUCUAGACUUGUCCAUCUUCUGGAUUGCCCAAAAUUAAGUAAUUAAUGUAUGAAAUAAAAGGAUGCACACUUAUAUAAUGACAUGCUAAUCAUUAUAAUGUGGGCAUCAAAGUUGUGUGUUAUGUGUAAUUACUAAUUAUCUGAAUAAGAGAAAUAGAUUAUCCCUAUUUCUUAUCCUAAAAAUGAAUGUCAAGUGUCCUUACAAUUCUCUAAUGAAUCAGAUACAUUGAAUAAACUAAAUCCAUAUAUAGAUAUAAAUAUUAUUCAUAUACUCAAUUAAUAUCAAUUGGGUUAGCAAAACGAAUCUAGUCUAGGUGUGUUUUGCUAAUUAUUGGGGGAUAAUGCAGAGAAAAACCUACGUUAUCAAUAAUUCAGAUAGAAAACUUUUAAUAUAGUGAGAUAAUUGUUUUGAUCCUUUGAUAUAUCUAAAACCAUGCAUGAUAUUAGGAAAAUAGAUAGAGAAAUAAUUUGUACGAUCUUUAAUUGUUGAGUAUGUGAACAAUUUAAUUCAAGAAGCUAGGAAUAUAAAUAUUGAGAGUUUAUGAUUAUUAUUUUUGAUGUUUAAUGAAGUUUUUUUAAUUUCACAUAGAAGUAUUCAAAUUUGGAUACUUCCGCUAACAUAAAAUCCUUCAUAGAUUUUUGUUUCUAUGCUGUAGGUUAUGGUUUUUACACUAUUCGUAGUAAACUCUUAAUAGCGAAUGAUAUGUAUUGGGUAGUGUUGUAAACCCUUCUAUAUGCUUAAUUGUGUGUUUGCAUGUUGUGAUUAUAUAAUUGUGAUGAAAUAAGCAUGAUGAAGCUAUUGAAUCUGAAAUCUUGAAAAAGAAACCCUAAUCUACUUUGUUAAUGAUGAUGCCUUAGUGUAAAAGAAGGCUUGAUGAACGAAAGUAGUGAGAUUAGGGGAUCGGGUGCCACGUUCCGGUACCAGGAUAGAAUAUAUAUGGAUCGGGUGCCACGUUCCGGUACUAGGAUAGUAUAUGAGGAUCGGAGUGUCACGUUCCGACACUAGGAUAGUAUAUGGAUCGGGUGCCACGUUCCGGUACCAGGAUAGAAUAUGGAUCGGGUGUCACGUUCCGACACCAGGAUAGAAUGAGGAUCGGAGUGUCACGUUCCGACACCAGGAUAGUAUAUGAGGAGCGGAGUGUCACGUACCGACACGAGAGGAAUAAAGAUAAUGAAUCUUGAAAGAUGUUAAUAUACUCAAUCUAAUGAACCUAAUUCCCAAAUGAGUAUGAUGAGGAGGCGUGAGUCCUCGUUGAUGAGCUUGGUGUUGUGACCAAGGGUUAUGGUAAUUGUAAAUGCCGCAUGUUGAGUAUUGUAGUUGAUUUUAUGAUAUUAUCUGAUAUAUACUGUUUUCUAUUUUGAGUUGGCCGAUGAUACCUACUCAGUACCUGUGUUUGUACUGACCCCCUACUUUUAUGUUUUCUUCUUUGUUAUUUGUGGAGUGCAGCAAACGUGCCAUCGUCUUCAACUCAACCGCAACUCUAGCCAGUCUUCAUUACUCCGGAUUUCAGGGUGAGCUAAUGCUUCUAGCUUGGACUGGAUCUUCCUCUUCAUGUCUUGAUGCCUUGAAGUUCCGGCAUGGACUAGCUUUUUAUGUAUUUUAGCUUCUUAGAUACUCUUAGCUUUAGUAAUUUGAAGUAGAUGUUCUUGUGAUGAUGACUUCCAGAUUUUGGGGAUAAUAAUAGUUGUUGAGUUUUUAGAAGUUAUUGAAUUGGUUUUUAUUAAUGAGUUUAAGUCUUCCGCAUUACUUUCUAUUGAUAUUAUAUUGAAAUGUUAAGGUUUAGAUUGAUUGGUUCGCUCACAUAAGAGGGUAAGUGUGGGUGCCAGUCGCGGCCCGAUUUGGGUCGUGACAAACUUGGUAUCAGAGCAUUAGGUUCGUUGGUCUCAUCACACAAGAACGAGUCUUGUAGAGUCUUAAGGAACGGUAGGGGGACGCCUUUACUUUUCCUUGAGAGGCUAUAAGACUUUAGGAAAAUUCAUUCUUUCUUUCUUUCUUUCGUGCUAUUACUUGGGUCCAAUUGGUAUCUAGGUGAUACAAAUUGGUAUCUGACCAUCUUUACUCUAUUUCGCAGAUGGUUAGAACUAGAGCAACAACCGCGCCAACACCAACACCGGCGGGACAGGGUGCGUCUGAGCCAGCCACUUGGGCUGUAGCUAGAGGAAGAGUAGCGGCAAGAGGCCGUGGGAGAGGUCGUGGGAGGACGUUCUCUAGAGGAAGAGGACAAGCACCAAGCCCAUCUGGUACUAGGGCGGUGACUCCUCCACCGACUGAGGAAGUAGUAAGAUAAGGGGAGGAUGGGGAGAAUGAACAAGUACAGAAUGAGGAAUUGCCACCCCAACCUACCCCAGAAAUGAUAAAUCAGGUUCUUGCUUAUCUUAGUGGAUUAUCUAAUCAAGGUCAAACACCUCCAGUGUUUUCUGCACCAAAACCUCCGGUUCCGAAAGUACAACAGACAACUGCUGCGGCUCCCCGCAUGGAUGCCUCAUUGGAAAUAUGCACAUUUCCUCGUCUGACUACAGGGCCUAUAAUGACAAACGAUCAACAUGAACUUUUCAGGAUAGACACUCCUCAACCCAAACAAAACAAAAGAAAAGGUAAAAAGAAUCCAUAAUAUGGAUGUUCACAAACAAGUUAGUUUCCUUGCUUACCUACUACUUGUUCUUGGUAAGAUUUCCCUUUCUCUAAUUUUCUUAUCUUUAGUUUCUUUGUUGUGACAUAAACUACAAGUGUUAGCUAUGUUUUUUUCAUUUCACAGCUUUCUCUUUAUUAUAUUUGUUUGUAGGAUUAUUGCUACUUGUAAGCGCGGUGGAACAUGUUGAUGCCAAUUCUUGUACUAAGGAAUGUGGUCAUCUUGGGUUUGGGAUAUGCCCACGUUCACAAGGAAGUCCGCAAAAUCCCAUAUGCACAAACUGUUGUGCAGGUUUUAAAGGUUGCAAUUAUUAUAGUGCUCAUGGAACUUUUAUUUGUGAAGGACAAUCUGACCCUAGAAAACCAAAAGCUUGCCCUCGAAAUUGUGAUCCACAUAUUGCCUAUUCAAAGUGUUGCACGGGAUACAAAGGUUGCUACUAUUUCGGUAAAGAUGGCAAGUUUGUUUGUGAAGGAGAGAGUGAUGAACCCAAGGUAUGUAUGUACCAUGGAAUGUGACCCUAGAGUUGCAUACAUGAUUUGUCCAUAUUCUGGAUUGGCCAAACUUAGCCAUGUUUGUGUUAAUUGUUGCACUGCAGGGGACGGUUGCAAACUCUAUGGAUAUGAUGGAUCUUUAAUUUGUACUGGAGAGCCUCAGAGCGAUAUAUCUACAGCAUAAGGCAUGCAUCAUCAAUAAUAUGUGUUGUACUUUUUAAUUUAUAAUGUAUGAAAUAAAAGGAUGCACACGUGUACAAUGACAUGCUAAUCACUAUAAUGUGGGCAUUAAAGUUGUGUUAUGUGUAACUACUUAUUAUUUGAAUAAAAGAAAAAGAUCAUCCAUAAUUAUAUUGAGGACUUGGCUCCUCUCUAUGGGUGAUCUCCUUUGGUCUUAUCCUUAGUAAAUGACAUGUGUCUUUAUAAUUGUUGGAUUUUUAAAAGGCGUGAAUGGAAAAUGAAGAGUUGCAACUUUUGUGAAGAGUUGUGAUUUUUAUGAAAUGUUGCGACUUUCAUGAAAUGUUGUGACUUUUAUGAAAAGUUGUGACUUUUAUGGAAAGUUGUGACUUUUUUAAAGGUGACGACCUUUCUGAAAGAUUGUGACUUUUCCAAAAGUUUGUGAGCUUUCCGGUAAGACAUAAGAAGAAUCUUUUCGCACUAUCCUUUGUUUUCUAUAAAUUGAGGGAUUUCUCUCAUUUUAGAUAGAAUUUAUGGACUUCUUCUUCAACUACUAAAUAUAGUAUUCUAAGUGUACUUUACUGCCGUUGAGUGGUUCGCUGACACCGGAGUUUUUGGUAUCUAUACUCUGGAUUGAGAUCAUUUUACUCUGGAAGGUCAUAUUCCAAAUCAAAUCUCGGAUACUAUAGGGGAAUAAUUUCCUUAAGGGGACACUGUGAAUUCAGUGGACUUGAUCUUUUUCCUAUUAAAAAUUUUUAAGAUUCUGGUACAUGUUUGUUUUACAAACUUUAGAUUUGUGAAUUAAUUUCAGUUCUUCUAUUCUUUGUUCUUCACUAGUUCAUUAAACUCGGUAACUUCGUGUUUCUGCAAAGUUUGUUGGAAUCAGUAAGAUUCUUUAGACACAUAUUAACAACAAUUCUUCUUUAAGAAAAAUAUUUCGUAUAUUUUUUUAAAAAUCUAUUUCUGAUUCUAGUUUCGCUAGUAGUUUUAAUUUUCUAGUUGUGAAAAUGUUCUUAAACUUUGUUUUCUUACAAAGAUGUUCAAAGUUUUGUUCUAAGUAUGUUUGGAAUACAAUAUGAACAACAAUAAUAUUUUACGAAAUCAGAUCUAUAAAUUUAUUUACUUUUAAACAAACUACCUUUGAGAUUAGGUAAGUUAUAUCAAAGUGAAUGAAUUUAUAAUUUUUCACACACUAAGAAUACAAUUUUAAAGUUAUUGAUUCAGGUAUUCUGAUAAUUUUUCAUUAUUGAGCUACUUUUAUUAUUUGUCCAUUUUGUCGUGAAUAGGGGUGUACAUGAUCUGAUUGAUUUGGAUUUCAAGUAUCAAAUUAUUAUUCGUGUAAAAAAUUUGAAUUUAUAAAAAAUCAAGGGAAAAUACUCAAGUACCCCCUCAACCUAUGCCCGAAAUCCCAGAGACACACUAAUACUAUACUAAGGUCCUAUUACCCCCCUGAACUUAUUUUAUAUGUAAUUUUCUACCCCUUUUUAGCCUACGUGGCACUAGUUCGAAAAAAAAGUCAACCAUCGUUAGGCCCACAAGAUAGUGCCACGUAAGCUAAAAAGGGGUAAAAAAUUAUUAAUAAAAUAAGUUCAGGGGGGGUAAUAGGACCUUAGUAUAGUAUAAGUGUGUCUUUGAAAUUUCGGGCAUAGGUUGAGGUGGUACUUGGACAUUAUCCCAAAAAUCAAACUAAACUAAUAAAAUUCGGGGUUUUCAACCUCGAGUUGGUUCAAAUUUUUCAAAUAUCAAAACUAACCAUUGUGUCAAAUUUUUAAAUUUAUAAAUCAAGCCAAACUAAUAAACCUCAGAUUUUUCGGUAAAGGUUGCAUACAAACAUAUAAUUAACUUGUGAUCCAAAUAUUUCUUUAGUCCAACAAAAAUAUAAUUAUGUAAAGUGUUUUUUUAAAAAAAAAAUUACAUAAAAUAUUAUAAAGUCGUAAUGAAAAUAGUCAUAAUUUAAAAGCACUAAAUCAUGCUAAAAUAAGUUUAAUAAAUAUUAGUUACAUUACUAAAUAUUUAAGGAAAAUUAAAAUUAGUUUAUAAAUUUUAAUUGUCUAAACCGAUGUAAAACUAAAGAACAAAUAUUCAAUAUUAUUGUCAUUCUUACUCCGUUCGUCCGGUAUUGUUUGUGAUAUUUUGCUUUUGCAAAGUCAAUUUGAAUAAUUUUUAAGUUAAAUUAGAUCACAUUAAUUCGAUAUUUCAAACAAAAAAUUAGAUAUUCUAAAAGUAUAUGAAAGUAUUAUAAAUUGCAAUUUUUUGCAUAUUUAUAUGAUGAAAAUUACAUCUUAAAAUGUUAGUUAAAGUUUUUAUAAUUUGACUCUAAAAAUAGAAAUCAUGACAAACAAUACAAGACAUAGGAAGUAGUGUUGAUUUGAUUUUCUUUUUGCAUUAAUAUAAAUUUGAUUUUGAUUUAAGUUUUAUUAUAAUUAUCAACAGACUAUAAUUUUAUUGGACAAUUCCGAAUUCUAAGUUUUGAACUUGAAUUAAUAUAUUAAAAGAUAAAAAUUAUAGAAUAGUAUAAGAAAUAUUUUAAAAUGGUAUCAAAGUAAAUAUUUUAUGUAUAAAAUAAAAUUUUAAGAGAAAAGGCAUAAAGUGACACCUGAAGUUGUCUCCAAUUUUUAAAAAGACAUCUUAAUUAUGUAGAUGUCCUAUUACCCCCCUAAACUAUUCCGAACAUAUAUUAUUACAUCGUUUUUGGAUCAAUUCCAGAUUUUAAAUGGCAAGUGUAAUCACACACCAAUCAUUGUGUGACACGUGUUAAUUCAAUUUGAAAUAUUAUUUUUUUUCAUUUUAAGAUUUUUUUAUUUCUUUUUCUUACUUUUUGACUUAUUUUAGUUUUAUUAUUUUUAUUUUAAUUUCAUUUUAAUUUUUAAUUCAAAUCUUCUAUCCCAACUUUCAAGCUCCCUCCAUUUUCUUUCUUUAUUUCUUCUUCAUCACCUCUUAUCUUCACCUAACCCCACAACCAUAUCAAGUUGAGCUCCUCUAUUUUCUUUCUCUUUUCUUCUUCUUAUUUGGUUAAAUUUCUUACUUUUUAAAAUUAUACUAUUUUUUAGACUUUGUUGAGUUAUUGAUAACAAAAUUAUUAUUUUUCUAAGAAAGAUCAAAAUUUUGUAGGUAUCAUCAUUUAAUUUAUCUCAUUUCCAUAUAAAUUCAAAACUAGAAAUGAUAAUUUUGAAAUCAUAAGAAUUCUCCGUAAAUCGAAAAAGUUUAAUUAGAAUUUGGAUAAAAAAAACUAAUUAAUGUCUACUAAUCUUGAAAUCUAAUGGGUUUAUCACAUUUUUUAAAAUGUAUUAAAAUAUUUAGAUAUAAUUUUAAAAGUAAAGAGAGUUAAACUAAUAGUAGAAUAAAAGAGAGAUGGAGUCAUGGUAAAAAUUGACAUUGAAAGUGAUAGGUUAAUGAAGAUGACAAUGAAUUAUUGAAGAAGAAGGAAGAAAAAAAAAGAAAAAAAUAAUAAGGAGAAAGUUUUUUUUAAAAAAAAUUCUUGUAAAAAUAAAAUUAUAUUCAUUUUUUUUAGUUUGUUCACGCUCUUUGAGGAGUGUAUACACUCGUCAUGCCAGGUAGACAAAAAAUGAUGUAAUAAUAUCAGUUCAGAAUUGUUUGAGGGGGUAAUAGGACACUUGCAUAGUUUAGGUGUCUUUUUGAAAAUUCGGAAUAACUUUAGGUGUUUAUGUCUUUUCUCAAAUUUUAAAAAUACAUGUACAAUGAUGCAUGCAAUUUUUUCCACGUAUAUCUUUUUAUGUGUGUGUUUUGUCGUAUAUGUUUACGAGAAAGGAAAAGCAAAUAAUUAAUUAAGAGUUAAGUAUUGAAAAACCUCUAGAACUUGACUGACUUUAUUAUUUCGGUCCCAAACCAUUGCUAGCCUUCACACUCUUCUGUUUGACUAACUAAACUUAUAUACGCCCCUAAGUUGCCACAUGACACAACAAAUAAUCUCAAACUCAUGUAGGAGCAUGAAACUUUUAAUAAAAAGUCAAGAGAAGUGUUGAAAAAACUCUAAACUUAAUGAGAAUUUAGGAGUGUACGUAUUUCACUCAUAUUGCAAGAUCGAAUUUAAGCUUGGUUAGUCAAGUAAAAGAGUGUUUAUAAGUUUGUCGACAGAUUGAAAAUAAAACUAAUAACUCGCGCCAAAUUAAUCUACUACCAUUCAUAGAAAGAUUUAUAUUUAGGUUGUGUUUGGUAUCAAGGAAAUGUUUUCCUAGAAUAUAAUUUCCCGGAUAACAAGUAGAUUUUUGACUUAUUUUCUCAUUUUUGGUUGGUGAUAGAAAAUAUUUUCUGGAAAAUAUUUUUAGAGUUUGAUUUAUCAAUGAAAAAUAUUUUUGAGAAACAUCUUUUUUGUCUACCAUAGUAGAAAAUAAUUUAUAAAUUGAAAAUAUUUUUUAAAUACAAACUUAAUUUUUUUUUUGAGUGUGGGGUUAGGGGUUGAGGGUCGAGGAUAGGGGUGAAUUUUUAUUUUUUUUAGAAGUUGAGAAUAUUUUUGAAAAAACAAACUUAAAUUUUUUUUGGUGGGGGGGGGGGGGGUGAGGGGAAGGAGGAGGGGUAGAGGUGAAAAAAUGAAAUUUUGAAUAUUGAAAAUAAUUUUUAAAAGAAAAUGCAAUUUUUUUUUGGGGGGGGGGGGGGAGGGGUGUGUGUCGAGGAUCGGGGUGAAAAGAAUAAAAAAUUGAAGUAGAAAAUAUUUGUUAAAAAUAAACUUAAAUUUAUUUUGUUAUCGGGUUAUCGGUUCUGAACGGUUUGACUUUUUUCUAACGGGUUAACCAAUAACCCGAUAGUAAAUUUAAUAAUUAAUUUUAUAUCAUUUUGUAUAUUAAGUCCUUGACUUAGAGUUUGAUUUCCUACUUUUAUUUCUGAUUGUCUCAAAACUUGGUUAUUCUACAAUGUAAAAGUGUUUGCUUUUGAGCAAUAUAUAUCUUGUGAACUCAUGUGCAUGAUUCAUUUGGUUUGUCACAUUGUUUCUAAGUUAUUUCAAUAUUUUUUUUUUGUCAAAUCUUAAUGGUUUAUAAACCCAUAACCAAACCAAUAGCGAUCAAUAAUUGAUAAGUGCUAUAUCUUAAUUGUUCUAUAACAAUUUAGCAUCUCUACAAACCGAUACCCAAUAAGCUAAACCAAUUAAUUUCAAAAUUAAACCGAAUCGACUGAUACGCAACCCUAAUCCCACCCGUUGUACGGGAUGCGAGAGUUGCUACUAUUUAAGCAAAAAUGGCAAGUUUGUUUGUGAAGAGCUACAGAUUAUUGAACCCAAGGCAUGUACCCUGAAAUGUGACCCUAAAGUUAUUUACAUGACUCGUCCAUCUUCUUGGUUAGCCAGACAUUAUGAAGUUUGCGUUGAUUAUUGCACUGCAGGAGAGGAUUGCAAACUAUAUGGAUAUGAAUCUUUAGCUUGUACUAAUAUAAAUGAAUUGUUGAAGCGUGACUUGCACAAAAAGAUAUUAAAAAUCAUUAACCAAUGUUUUAUCGAAAAAAGGGUGAUUUUCGAAAAGAGUUUGUUUUUAGACUUUUAGGAGUCGCCACUUAAUUUUUAAGAAAAAUCAAGAAAACUUUUAUUUUCAAAAGACUUAAUAGAAAAAUCGAUUGAAAAUAAUUAAAGGGGUUCGGGAUUCCUAUUAGCGUCUUAGGAAGGUGUUUAAGGCACCUAAGACACUCCGUUAAAUACGGUUUUCCAACGACUAACUUAUUUGACUAUUUGCUUUAACUUUUACAAAUCGAAGUUUAAACUCUACAAAAGUUUCUUAGCCGAACUUUACAAAUUUGAAACAUUUGUUAUCUAUCUUGUAAUCUGUGAAUCUAUUCCAAAGUCAAAUUUCUUUAGAAUUUCAUCCAAACAAGUUACAAGUUUUUCCACGCUUAUCCUUUUAAAAUUCCAUUAAGGUUAAACCUUUUAAACUUUACUCUAAGCAAUUUUCAAACUUAAACAUCCAUCUUUGAUAUUUCAGUUUUUAGUUUUAAUCUUGAUAAAAUAGAAGGCGUUCGGCGGGGUUUGGAGUUUCUAAUCCUAGCCUAUACGACAUUCCAAACAAAAAUAACAUAAACAAAUAAUAAAGAGGGAGAGAGAGAGAGAGAGAUUCGGGUCCAAGUUUCGGAUGCUGUUCGCCUUGACCGAAACUCGAAUCCACCUGCUUUUUGGGUUUUUAACCCAUUCACCUGUCCUAAUCUAAUAUACGAAAUAAAAUGCGAGAAAAGCAAAACAAGAGGGCUUAUGCCCAUUACAAAAACAAAAAUACAAAAAUAUAAAGUAAAGAAAUUUCUAAUCUAUUUCUUCAAGUUUCUCCAAUCUUGGGGACCUGUUCGUCAAUAUCGCAGGUUGAUCGACUCGAUGAAGGAAGUGAGUAGGGCCUCCAUGGCCCAGGAAGAUGCAAGGAUAAAAUGGAGUCCCAAAUGGACUCGAGAGAAAGUUUCCCGUGCAACAAAGUAGAAAUAAAUUAGCAUAUGAACGAUGAUGCAAAUCCGAUAUAUUUAGAAUGAAAAGCAAACAAAUAGAAAAAAUAAAAUAAAAAAAGAAACUUUAUAAGAAAAGCAAAUGAAAUUCAAGUUUUAAAAUCAACCAAAAUUAUUAAACUGACCAAAUCUAAACAGUAGCAACUUAAACUCUUCGUCUAAACCGAUCCUAACACUAAAACUAACAAUAAACAAACGUGAAUCAUCAGAUCUAUGAUAUACAAAGACACUAGCUGACCGUAAACCAAAUGGUGAACGGCAUCUUAAGGAGAAUAACUUGACUGCAUUGUUAUUCGAAGCUUUACAUUCUGUUAAUAUGGCAUGCAAAGAGUUGUUUAAGUUGUCCCUUAAAUCCUCAUGACAAAUCCCAGCAAACAAGAUGACACACCUCGCAAGUUAUAACUAGAACUCGAACCAUAGAUAAACCACAUAAUUGCUACUCCAAGACGAGAAAGAUACAUACAUCGAACGGAAUGUUGAAACCAUUGUUUAGCAUGCUAUCAAAGAGAACUAAAUAGAUGACGUGGGCAUGAAAUCAACACCUAAAGGUAAGAAUUUGCACGAUUUCACGUGACAAACUAGAAACAUAGUAAAUUGUGGUGAUAUACAAAAUUGACAGUAUAUAUGUUUGUAUUCGAAUACUUCGACAUAACACGACCCCAGAAUUAAACAGACAAACAGCAGAGGAGGGGACGACAUCACAUUAUCAAGCCAUAGAUCCUAACAUAGAUAUUACGCUAAUAAACCACAGGAAAAUCUUUAAAUCGCGUUAACUUGAAGUUAGGUUAAUAGAACGAAAUCACAACAGCAAACCAAAUCGAAAACUGCCUUCGACCUCAAAAUAAGUUCGAAACUCCCUCAUCCAUCAUCAACUGUUGGGAGAGAAAAAGGAAACUCAUUCACAUUUCAACAAACACGCAAGAAUACUAUUGUGUCAUAGGAAAAUUUUCAAUUUAAAUGAGAAAGAUAACCAAAACACGUAAAGUCUGCAAUGAGAGCUCUAACGAUGGACAACCAACACGAAGAGAAAAGAAAUCUAGAUAAAGUUUUCAUUUGAAUGAGAUAAAACAAGAACAAAUGGGUUAUAGAUGCGACAAGAAAAACAAACAAAUCUCAGCAAACAUAUUCAAUAAUAUCGACUCAACAGCAACAAAACAACCAGUGGACACCCGGCAAAGGUUAUCCGCCCUCAAACCAUCAUAUUAAGAUCAAGAAAAGAAGGGAGUUGCGUGGAGGGGCGUUUACCUGUCGAGGAGCAGCGACGGGGACGGCGAGAAAAGGGGCGACUGCGACACCGGGAUGAGCUCCGAACUGUUUCGAAGACGAAUCGACUAGUGAAGGAGAUGGAAUCGUGAUUUCAGUUUCCUUAGUUGUCUAACUCCCUCUCUCUUUGGUACUCUUACGAAAAAACGACAGCGAAACGAAACAAAUUCUCAACUUUCCAAAACAGUGCUCGACUAUUCUUAUAUAUUCAAGAACCAGAAAAUUUUUUUCAAACCUUAAAAUCUCUCCAAUACUCAAAACUCUAACGAUUUCAACUCCGAAAAUUCCAACCAAAAAUCGCCAAAGUUCUAACCCCUUUUCUUGAGGACGAAAGGGGUUUAUAUAGGGUUUUCGGAAGAGGGAAGGGCGAGAACGUGACUAGGCCCAUCUGAAUUCAAAAUUUGAAUCCCUCCCAUUAAUGGGGCACCAUCUUUUUUCUGAAAAAUUCGCCCUUUUGGAAACGGAAAAAGGGGAAGGGAUGGCUCCAAUCGUCCUUGAGGGGAGACGUGGAUCGAUCUCGCGCCUCAAGGACGAAGACGCAGGUCUGCUACAGCCGAAUACGGGUCUGCCACCGCCGAAAGCAGGUCUGCUACGAGGCGUACUGGCGAGGAGAGAGGAGAGGAGAGAGAUGCGUGAAGGAGACGCGGCUGCUGGGUUGUCGCGUCUGGUUCUUUCAUUUGUUCUGGGGAUUUUGUGGGUUUCCGUUGGGAUAAACGCGUGAGGGAGAGAGGGAUAGAGACGCGAGGUGUUGGGAGAGGGGGAAGAUUUUUCCGUUUUUUGGAGUACUGCUCCUCUGCGUUUUUCUCUGUUCUUUUCUGCGUUUGCAGCGUUUGGGGAAGAAGGAGAAGGGAUGGGUUUGGGCUGGAGCGGGUAAGGGAGAAAUGGGCUGGAUCGGGGGAUUUAGAAGGAGGGACGUUUGGGCCUGGGGGGAAUGGAUUAUAGGAUUUGGGCCGCUCAUUCUUUGGGCCUGGGGCGGCUGGAAAUUGAGGGGAAAAGGGGUUGGAAAAGGGAUUAAGUGGGCCUGGAAAUUAGGAAUAGGGUGAGGGGUCCAAAUUUGGCUCUUCUAAAUUAAAUGGCCAAAAGAAUCCAUUUUAAAAUAAUAGCCAAUUGAUUUAAAACGAAUUCGGUAUAAAUUUAUUAACGAGCCUAUUUAAAGUAAACUAGUUUGAUAGAAUACAUUCUAAACUUAAGAUAUACAUAUAUACAUAUACAUAUACAUAUAUAUAUAUAUAUAUAUAUAUAUAUAUAUAUAUAUAUAUGUAUAUAUAUAUAUUUUACUCAUAAAAUAUACAAACUAUAUAUACAAUUACGUAAUAUAUAUAUACUUACCUAACGUUAUGAUAAGUAGCAUAAGCUCCGUAUAUUAUAUAUAUUUUUUACUUAUAUAUAUAUAUAUAUAUGCAUAUAUCUAUAUAUGUAUACAUAUAUAUACAUAUAUAUAUAUGUAUACAUAUAUAUACAUAUAUAUAUACUUUUUUUUUGAAUUUUCACAAGAUUUAUAAAACUAAUUAACUUAAAUAAUUUGAAAAACUCACGAAGCUCGAUAAUUAAUUUAUACCGACGUGGGUCAAAAUUGGGUGUCAACAACUGUCCCUCAUUUUACUUGGGUUGAUGCAAACAACUCGAGGAAAAUGAAAUUGACCGAACCAAUUUUGACCAACCCCAUUCAUUUUUCAAAGGAAGGAAUCGACAGAGAGUUUAGGAAUUAUGGCCGAACCCUUGAAAAUGGGUCCCCUACCUAUCUCAGGCUAUAUGAGAAUUCAGGCCACUUGUAGUUCAAUAAGCUUGAUUCACCGCAAGAUUUUGAAAGAAUCAAAUGCCACCUCGAUACCGAAUUAUGAAGGUAUCGAAAUGCUCGAGAAUAGAAUUAGAGAGCGAAUGUUGGAAUACAGCCGAGUUUUCGACAUAGAAUCCGCCUACAUAUCCUUAGACCUUCAGAAUCAGGCUGUGUGUAGUUCGACUCGAUCGGCGGAACAGGAAAUCUAUUCUGCUAGAUAACCUUUGGUUUCGGACAAGUGACAAAUUAACGAGUAUGAAAAGGAGGCUUGUAACCUCUUAGCUAUGAAUGUGGAGCUCUUCACAUCCAUAGGUAAGAACUUACACGGACAUAAUUUCCAAAGCUCUUGGCGCAUUGUCACUCAGAUUGGAAACUGGCUUCCAAUAAGACAAAACUUUUGGAUGCGAGACUGAAACUGACAGACCUAAAGGAAGACCCGCAUGCCUCGAGAGGGGUGGUUCGAUCGUGGUGGAAGUCGCUCCUCUGCUCGCGUCCUAAGAGUUUGAUACUCCUCUUUGGACUGUGUCCCAGUUCGCUGCUAAGAAAAAGUUCCACAUUGUGCUGCAUCCUUUUUGAUGUCGUCCGCACCUGUGGCUUUUUUGAGAAUUCAUCCUUUUGGAUGCUCUCGACAAAGACAUGUAGACACUUCAUUGUUCUCCUCCAUGUUCGACGUCGACUCGAUCGGUCUGACGUCCAGCAAAUAAAGCUUAUACCUUGGGUUUUGCAAUAUCAUCUUUAAUGUAUUCCAUACUUGAUGUCAAAAUAAAUAAAUAAAUGUCGAUGCGAUGUUGAUGCUUCUUUUGUUGUCAUCUUCGAUGCUCUCCAUGAUGUUUAUUUUUAUAAGAAAUAACAUAAUGCAGUCGAGGCCAAUGGAUAAGUAUUGCUCUUUCUUGAUCCAAGUAACAUCCUCUUGCGGGUCAUGAAUAUCUUCCCGCGAUACAUAAAUUCCCGCGAGAUAUGAAUCUUCUCGCGAUGCAUAACUUUCAGCGAAGAAUAAAAUCUUCUUGCGAUGUGCAAAUUUUGACGAGGCAUGAAUUCUUCUCGUCGUGCAUAAAUUUUGACGAGGCAUGAAAUCUUCUCGUCGUGCAUAAUUAAUGACUCGCGAUGCAUGAUUUCCGCUAUGCAUGAAUUUCAGCGAGGCAUAAAUUCUUCUCGCGAUGUAUAAAUUUUGACGAGACAUGAAAUCUUCUCGUCAUGCAUAAUUAUUGACUCGCGAUGCAUGAAUUCCAGCGAGGCAAAAUUCUUCUCGCGAUGUAUAAAUUUUGACGAGGCAUGAAAUCUUCUCGUCAUGCAUAAUUAUUGACUCGCGAUGCAUGAUUUUCAGCGAGGCAUAAAUUCUUCUCGCGAUGUAUAAAUUUUGACGAGGCAUGAAAUCUUCUCGUCAUGCGUAAUUAUUGACUCGCGAUGCAUGAUUUCCGCGAUGCAUGAUCUUCAGCGAGGCAUAAAUUCUUCUCGCGAUGUAUAAAUUUUGACGAGGCAUGAAAUCUUCUCGUCAUGCAUAAUUAUUGACUCGCGAUGCAUGAUUUCCGCGAUGCAUGAUUUUCAGCGAGGCAUAAAUUCCAGCGAGGCAUAAAUUCUUCUCGCGAUGUAUAAAUUUUGACGAGGCAUGAAAUCUUCUCGUCAUGCAUAAUUAUUGACUCGCGGUGCAUGAUUUCCGCGAUGCAUGAUUUUCGCUAUGCAUGAAUUCCCGGGAUGCAUGAUUCCGCUAUGCAUGAUUCCGCGAUGCAUGAUUCUUCAGUGUAUAAAUUUCGCGAUGCAUGAAUAUUUAUAUCGCCCUUGUGAAUAGUAACGGCAAGACGACCUCCAAAUAAUAUAUCGACUUGAUCGAUAAUGAUAAAAUAAUAAUUGCAUAAUUGUCUCUUCUGAGGUACUGUGCGGUCUUGAUCGACAAUAAUCAUCUUGCUUUGAUAACGCAAUGCAAAUAGCGUCUUCUAUAGAAAUCGUGAAAUCUUCGCUGAGAUUUCUGUUUGAUUCACCUUUGAAUCUGGCUGGAUACUUUGUAAAUUUCCCAUUGUUGAGAAUGGUUUGAAAUAAACAAACACAUUAAUAAGCAUCCUGACACAAACGAUAUUCCUGCUUUCGAUAAAAUCCCUGGUUUUGGAGAUAGUUUUCUCCUUCUCCGUAUUCAUCAGUCGGAAGAAUUCCGCCGAUUUCGAAGCGAAGCUAUAAACCUGCAUCCACAGAAAAAUUGUCAGUUUUAAACAUACUGAUCUGUGUCGAUCCCUUCGGUUGUUUGCUCCUUGUCUUGAUGUCUCCGGUUGAUUUCCCGAUUUCCCGACUCUUGAUAGAUAAGAAAAUACCUUAUGCCAAAACAGAUGAAAUAUAAAAGGGAAAUUUUUUAAGAGAAACAAGAGAUUUUUUUUUUUUAAGAAAUAGUAUCUUGAAAAAGUCACUGUCAAGUCAUGUCAUGUCGGGCUUAACGAGCUUCUUUGAGUCUGACGCUUGUCGAAUGAAUUUCAGAGGCAUUCCGGACUUGUAGGGAAGUCCCAUGACAAAAUUUUGAGGCCAUUCUCAAAAUUUCUGUCCCAGUUUAGUAUCUUGCUCCUCCUUCCAUUGUAAUCGCACAGAUCUCGGAAUUUUUGAGAUCUUCUCAAAAAUUCUGUCCUAGUUGCAAAUUCGAAAUGUCUUUAGUUUGAUCCGCUGAAGAGAAGGUUCCUUCUGGAGAAUUUUUGAGUCCCUCUCAAAAAUUGUGUCCCAGUUUCUAUUGUAGAAGGGAGGAAUAGAAUUUACGAGAUAUAUGACCGAGCCCUUGUGGCGCCUACGUAUCCCGUUGAGGCAGGAAUCAGGUCAAACAUAGUUCCCCUUACAGGUUAACAAGAAUAAAUUUUACAAAGAAACCGACCGAGGCCGACAUAGACCGCCUACGUAUCUCAUUCUUGAGAAUUCAGGUCGAACAUAGUUCAAAUCCAAAGAAAUAAUAAAGGGGGGUAAAUGGGGUGACCGAAGCCGACAUAGGCCGCCUACGUAUCUCGCUCUCGAGAAUUCAGGUCAGACGUAGUUCGUUACAAGAGGGGUAAGAGUUCAAAUUCGAACAAAUACAAGCAAACAGAAGAUUACAAGUAAAUGAUGGAAAAUGCAAAACGAACUUCACGCGUAAUAUCUCUUGACAGCAUCUGAGUUGAUAGGCUUGGGCCAUAUAGCGCCAUCCAUCUCUGACAAGACUAAAGCACCUCCAGAUAGUACUUUGCGAACCAUGUAAGGACCUUGCCAGUUUGGUGCGAACUUUCCUUUGUACUCGUCUUGAUGAGGAAAAAUACGCUUAACAACCAACUGACCAACUUCAAAAUUUCUGGCUCUUACUCUUUUGUGAAAAGCGCGAGUCAUUCUUUGUCUAUACAACUGGCCAUGGCAAACAGCAACCAUCCUCUUCUCAUCAAUCAAAGCUAGUUGAUCAAUCCGUUUGCUAACCCACUCAGCAUUACUUAGCUCAGCUUCUUGGAUGAUCCUCAGUGACGGUAUCUCGACUUCAACAGGUACGACUGCUUCUGUUCCGUAUACUAGCAAGUAUGGAGUAGCCCCAGUUGAUGUUCUGACCGUCGUUCGAUAACCCAGUAGAGCAUAUGGCAACAUUUCAUGCCAACCCCGCUGCUUGUCAAUCAUUUUCCUCAGAAUCUUCUUGAUGUUCUUGUUGGCGGCCUCUACAGCUCCGUUCAUUUGAGGGCGAUAAGCAGUGGACCUUCGGUGAAUAAUCUUAAAUUGUUCACAUAUCUCUUUCAUCAGAUGACUGUUGAGAUUUGCACCGUUAUCCGUGAUGAUGGAUUCUGGAACUCCAAAUCGGCAUAUCAGAUUGUUGCGGACAAAGUCGGCCACCACUUUCUUGGUUACCGAUUUGUAAGAGGCUGCUUCCACCCACUUGGUGAAAUAAUCGAUGGCAACCAAAAUGAAUCUGUGUCCAUUAGAAGCGGCUGGCUCUAUAGGACCGAUGACAUCCAUUCCCCAAGCUACAAAUGGCCAAGGUGAACUCAUAGCAUUAAGUUCGUGAGGUGGCACCCGUAUCAAAUCGCCGUGCACUUGACAUUUGUGGCAUUUUUGCACGAAUUUGCAGCAGUCAUCUCCAUAGUCAUCCAGAAAUAACCGGCUCGAAAUACUUUUCUUGCCAAGGUAAGCCCGUUCAUAUGUGUACCACAAACUCCAGCAUGUAUCUGUUCAAUAAGCCUCACGGCUUCAGCAGCAUCCAUGCAUCUCAAAAGACCCAAAUCUGGAGUCCUCCUGUAAAGGACUUCUCCAUUCAAAAAGAAAUUGAGAGCCAUACGACGUAUCGACUUCUUUUGAUUAGAUGUGGCAUCUUCUGGAUAUGUCCCAGACUCCAAGUACCUCUUUAUGUCGAAAUACCAAGGCAAACCAUCUGGUUCUGAUUCAACAUGUGAACAAUGGACUGGAUGUUCCUUCAAGUCUAUAUCCAACGGGUCGAUGUAAUCAGUAUUCGGAUGUUUGAUCAUUGACGCGAUGGUGGCAAGAGCAUCAGCUAAUUCAUUCUGUAUUCUGGGAGUAUGUCUGAACUCGAUCUUGCGAAACCUUUUACACAGAUUUUGCACAUAUUGUACGUAAGGUACAAUCUUCGGGUUCUUCACAGCCCAUUCUCCUGAACCUGAUGAAUCAAGAGGUCUGAAUCUCCAAUAACCAGUAACUCGUAAACAUUCAUGUCAACGGCCAUUUUCAAACCGAGAAUGCAAGCUUCAUACUCAGCCAUGUUGUUUGUGCAGUUGAAUCGUAGUUUAGCCGCUAUAGGAUAGUGCUGACCAGAUUCUGAUACCAAGACUGCUCCAACACCUUUACCCUGGUGAUUCACCGCUCCAUCGAAGAAUAAUCUCCAACCUGGAUAAGCUUCAGAGAUAUCUUCACCCACAAAUGACACUUCUUCAUCGUGAAAAUAUGUCUUGAGAGGUUCAUACUCUUCAUCAACGGGAUUUUCCGCAAGAUGAUCAGCCAAAGCUUGUGCUUUUAUUGCCUUCUGAGUCACGUACACGAUGUCAAACUCACUCAACAGCAUUUGCCAUUUAGCUAACUUCCCGGUCGGCAUCGCUUUCUGGAAAAUAUACUUCAAUGGAUCCAUUCUGGAGAUAAGAUAUGUAGUAUACGACGACAAAUAGUGCCUCAGCUUCUGGGCAAGCCACGUCAGAGCACAACAUGUUCUUUCCAGCAGAGUGUAACGAGACUCGUACGGAGUAAAUUUCUUGCUGAUGUAGUAGAUUGCCCUUUCCUUCUUCCCUGUCUCGUCGUGUUGACCCAGUACACAUCCAAAGGCGUUAUCUGAAACAGACAAAUACAGCAACAAAGGACUCCCUUCUCGCGGAGGAACCAAUACUGGUGGGUUAGACAAGUAGCUCUUGAUAGCGUCGAAAGCGGUCUGGCACUCCUCAGUCCACUUAGUUGGGGCAUCUUUCUUCAGCAACCUGAAGAUAGGCUCACAUACCACCGUCGAUUGUGCUAUAAACCGGCUGAUAUAGUUCAACCUCCCUAAGAAACUCAUCACCUCUCUUCUCGUUUUCGGCGGAGGUAACUCUUGAAUCGCUUUGAUCUUGGAAGGGUCGAGCUCAAUACCUCUUCUGCUGACUAUAAAUCCCAACAACUUCCCAGCUGGGACUCCAAAAGCACACUUGGCGGGAUUGAGCUUCAAGUUGUACCUACGCAAACGUUCAAAGAAUUUUCGCAGGUGUGUCAAAUGAUCCGAACUCUCGCGGGAUUUAAUUAUGACGUCGUCCACGUACACUUCAAUUUCCUUGUGAAUCAUGUCGUGGAAGAUAGUCGUCAUGGCUCUCAUGUAAGUGGCACCGGCGUUUUUGAGCCCAAACGGCAUCACCCUGUAGUGAUAUACCCCCAAGGUGUGAUGAAGGCCGUUUUCUCCGCGUCUUCUUCAUCCAUCAGAAUCUGGUGAUAACCCGCGUAGCAGUCCACAAAUGACUGCAUCUCAUGUUUGGCACAGUUGUCAAUCAGAAUAUGGAUUUGGCAACGGGAAAUUAUCCUUUGGACUAGCCUUGUUGAGAUCUCUGUAAUCAACACAAAUCCUGAUUUUUCCAUCUUUCUUGGCGACCGGAACGACAUUCGCCAACCAGGUGGGAUAUUGCGUUACUUCUACCAACCGAGACUCUAUCUGCUUGGUGAUUUCCUCCUUAAUCUUCAACUCAAUUCAGGCUUGAAUUUCCGAGUCUUUUGCUUCACCGGCUCGAACCCUGGGUUGAUAGGCAGCUUAUGAGAUACGACAUCGGUACUCAGCCCCUGCAUGUCACUGACCUCCCAAACAAACACAUCGCUGUAUUCGGCAAGCAAAUGCACCAGGCUCACCUUCUGAGUUUCAUUCAGGUGAGUGCUGAUCUUAACCUCUUUGACACAUUCUGAAUCUCCCAAAUUCACCGUCUCUGUUUCCUCCAGAUUCGGUUUAUGUUGAUUCUCGAACUGACGAAAUUCUUCUACCACAUAGUCUGGUUCCCCACUUUCUUCGUCGUAGUCGUCAGCCUCGUCGUCAUUUGCCUCAUUUUGCUCGUUUAGCUCAUGACAUGACAUGACAUUGGCAGGUUUGUAACUUACGUUACUGAAAUCAUAAACAGACAAAAUUAGAAAAGUAAAAUAUAACAAGCAAUCGAAUAAACAAAGUCAAAAUAAGGAGGCUUUCAUUUAAAUUGAAUCAAAAAUGCAAAUUUGGGUCAUGGCACAAGGCCGUGUCGCCCUUUAAACAAUCAUAACAAAAUUCAAAAUCAAGAAAAUGCAGAAAUGGUGGGUCUCGGGCCUCUUCCGAACGACCACCGAUUUUGGCAUGCACAAAAUAACUCCAUUCUACCACAGAGUUCGGGGAAUCAGGAUCGGCGUGGACGUCCAAUUUUGCAGCAUCUCCCCUGGUUCAGCAUCACGAAUGCCUGCUGGCUCAGCCUCCUCCUCGAUGACGGCGUUGAUCUCCUUGAACAGGUCACAGAUUCCUUCCCCAUCGACUUAGUCAACCCUUGAUCCUUUCUCCUCUUCAUCUUCAAAUCAUCAUUUGUGGGGAUGUACCCCAAACCAUACUUUGAUCCUAUAGCAAGGACCGGAAUUGGCUCGAUGAUCCCUUGUGCAUUCCUUCCUAAUCCGAAACCUGGUUCGAAUCCGCUCUGCAGCAUUACCGUGGCAAUCAUUUUGUACACGGCCGGCAUGGGAGUCUGUGGUGCCAAGCCCUCAUCGGUGGCAUUUACCAACUCCACUGUGUAGAAAUCCGAAGUUUGCGGCGUCUCGUCCAAGAUCGGCACCUGCUUACCUGAAUGGCUCCUUUCCCCGUGAAUAACUAGUUCUUCAUUUCUCCAUACUAGUUUCAUCACUUGGUGAAGAGUGGAAGGGAUGGCUCCAGCCAUAUGAAUAAAUGGCCUUCCCAAAAGGAGGUUAUAGCUGGUGUCGAUAUCCAACACCUGGAAUUUUGCCUCGAACUCCGCGGGGCCCAUUUGGAUGAUCAAGUUCACCGCUCCUAACGUCUCUCUCUGCACACCAUCAAAUGCUCUCACAUUGACCUGGUUUUUCUCCAACUUUUCGAGGUCAAACCUCAGCUGCUUCAGCGUGGACAAGGGGCAUAUGUUUAGGCCAGAUCCGUCGUCUACCAAAACACGGUUGACGAUCUUUCCGCGGCAUACCACGGUGAUGUGUAGAGCUUUGUUGUGGGCUCUCCCUUCGGAUGGCAACUCAUCAUCGCAGAAGCUGAUACGGUGUCCCUGAAUGACUCGGUGAAUCAUAGCAGCUACAUUGUCGCUGCUUGUGCCUGAGGGCACGUAUGUAUCAUCAAGAGCUUUCAUUAAGGCCUGCCUGUGGGACUGAGAGCUCAUCAGCAGGGCCCACACAGAUAUCUGAGCCGGAGUCUUCUCUAAAUGUUUGACGAUGGAAUAGUCCUUCGGCUGCAUCCUUCUCCAGAACUCUUCUGCUUCCCCCUCGCUUAUCGGCCUCUUAGCAUGGUCCUUCUUCUGUCCUCCGAGAGCAAGCUCAUCAGGAGUGUAGCACCUUCCGGACCUAGUCAUGCCUUGAGCCACGGCCGUUUCUAUCACAAACUUGGGUUUGGGGAGAGUCUUUGAGGGCACCAAGGCAACAGCCUUUGCAGGUGUCAGAAUAACAAACUCCCUCCUUUCCUUGACGCUUAAAGAAGCGACAGCCCUCUCCAAGUCUUCCUGAACAACAGGAGUAAUUCUUUUGGCUUCACGCUCAUCUUCGUCAAUUUCUAUCAUGUUGGCGUUUCCACCCCCAUGAUUUGGCAACGGAUUCGUGUUGACGUUUGGCGCCGCCGGUUGAAGAGAAACUACCUCCUGAUCGAUCAGGUCUUGGAUUUUGUGCUUAAGGUUGAUGCAAUCUUCCUUGUCAUGUCCAACACUGUUGGAAUGAUACGCACACCUUUGAUCCGGCCUGUAGAACUUUGAGUUGACAUCCACGGGUUUGGGCCCCACAGGGUGGAUGUAUCCAUCUGCGACUAGCCUCUCAAAUAGUUUGGUCCGGCUUUCAGCAAGUGUGGUAAAUUUCCUUGAAGGCCUUUUUUCAAAUCUCGGCCGGGGGGGAUCAUAACCGCUUUGCUGAGGGGGAGGGACUUGUUGGUAAUUGCGGGCAUUUGGUCGUGGAGCUUGGGCUCUGGGAUGGGGAUUUAUUUGGUAGUUUGGCAUUGGGGCUUGGUAAUUUGGAUGGGGGUUUUGAUAUGCUGGGGUUUGUAUUUGAUAUGCGGGGAAUGGCGCUUGAUAGCUUGGCUGUACAUUAGCGCAGCUGGGAGCGACAUUCUGGUAGUGGGGAGGGACUUGAUAGGCUUGGGGGUAGUUUGGAAAAUUUUGGGGAAUCGGGGGUGGAUUCUGAUACGACACAAUAUGGGCUUCUGGAUAAGUGGGGCCGGCAUUGUAGUGGCUGGAAUGAUUUAAGUUUGGACGGUAGGCUUGAUGAGGCUGUGAUGGAGGGUAAGGGCGGCCUUGGGGACGUGGUAAGUUUCUGGGGGCCUUUCUUCCCCCGUGUGAGAUAGCGUUAACCUCUUCUCUUUUCUUCCUUACCAGUCCGGAAGACCCAGGUGAUGCAGACACUCGGGCUAUCUUCCCCGACUUCAGGCCAUCUUCAAUAGUCUCACCCACCUUGACUAUCUCGGCGAACUUGGCGCCGAUUAAUAAGAUGACUCUGUCAUAAUACUCGGGCUCCUGCACCCGCACGAACACCUCCACAAUCUCUUUUUCUGUCAUCGGAGGCCUCACCCUUGCCGCCUCUUUCCUCCACCUGUACGCGAACUCUCGAUAGCUUUCUGUGGGCUUCUGCUUCAUCUUCUCCAAGGAGUACCGAUCAGGAACUAUCUCGACGUUAUAUGCGAAUCUGUCAAUGAAAUCCUUAGCCAGUGCACUCCAACUGGACCACUGUCGAGUCUCAUGUGACGUGAACCACUCCAGGGCUUCACCGCACAGGCUCCGGCUGAAUAACCUCAUUAGCAAGGCUUCAUCUUUGCCAACUCCCACGAGUUGGUCACAGUACGCUCUGAGGUGUGCCAUGGGGUUGCCCGCCCCACCGAAGGUAUCAAACUUCGGGAUCUUGAACCCUUCAGGCAGGUUCAAGUCUGGGUGGAUGCAUAGUUCUGCGUAGCUUAACCCGGCACGUCUGGAGUACAUUGCAAUUCCCUCAUUGCCUUCCGGAUCUCUUCCUUUAUGUCUACCUUUGCUUCUUCCCUCGACCUCCACUCUCUUUCUUGCUCCUCAUAGUGGUCCAACUCGGAGCCGUGCACCUCAUGCUCGACUGGGAUUGGGACUUGAAAAGUGGUUCUUUUGGGGAGGGGUGGAGCUAUGGAAGGGCUUGGGAAUUGAAAGCGGCGGGAUUUUGGGUUUGAUUUUGGGGUAAUGGGGCUAUUGGAAUGCUUUGGGGGUGUGGUGGUAUUUGUGGAGGAUUGUCUGGGAGUGGUGAGGGAGUCUGAUAGGAGACUGACGCGUAUUGGGGGUUUUGGGUGGUUAUAUCUAUUCUGGAGGGGUUAUGCACGGGUGUCGAUGGACGGUGCUGAGUAGGGUCCGAGUUGGACGAGGGGAAGUAUGUAGGAGGUCUCGCGUCGAGAAAGUAGGGGCCAAACCCGGGGAGAGAAGUGUCUUGCCUCCGUUGCAUCUCUACCCUCAUGUCAGCUAUUUGCUGCAUCAGCUGCGCAAUAAGCUCAUUCUGCUCUGCCGCGGUGGGCUGAGCCACCACGACGUCUGUGAGGCUGACUUGUUCAUUGUUAUCUCCCAUGUCUGUAUUUGCGUUCGGUUCGGGGAAGGAAUCUGCGGGACCUUUUGAUCUGGUAAAGUAGUAGUGAUCUGCCAGCUUUAUCGACACAGAUCAGUAAGAGGUACCUGAGAGGUAAAAACAACUCAAAGGCAAAUUCGUUAGCGCAUAUUUGAGUACAAAAUACAUAAUAGCCGCACAGCAAACAGAUUAAACACACAAGUCGCUUUGUUUGAGGAUAUCUUGGGAAAUCUGAAUCAUGCGAGCUAUGGUCUUCUUGCAGCUGCUUUGCGACGUCCGUUGAUCUUAUCUUCGUAUCUUCGAAACAUGGAGGAGAAUGAAAAUUUUCUGUGAUAGGGGUCGGGCCGAGAAGGCUGCCUACGUAUCUCACGGGGAGAAUUAAGGCCCAACGUAGUUCGGAUUUUAGGAUGAAAAUUUCCAUUCAUUCUUUCGUUGUGAUUACAAGGGAAUUGAAAAACAACACUGAAAUUUCUAGAAGUCAACAUUUGGCGAUUUCUUGUCUUGUGGCUGCAUCAUUCCCCCUCUUUUUUUCAGACAGUCGAAAAUGGAGGCUUGUAGACGAUUUCUUCUUCAUCAUCCUCCUCAAUCACUUCACGGACGGGGCCACUGUUAUCUGCUCCCCGAUCACGGGCGAGGUGUUCUCCGCCCUUUAGGUUGCUAUGGGUCGCCAACUCCUCGUCGAGCGCGGCGCUUCUGGCCAACAACACAGCAGUCUCAAUAUCUAUCUUCGCCUCUCUCGCCUUUCCUUCGUGUAUCUCCAAAUGAAGCAUGUUCAACCUUUUCCUUAGGCUUUCGGUUUCCAUCUCAACCUCCUUCUUUCUCUUUAUUUGCGACGCCAAAUCUUCAUCCAAGGUCGUGACCGCAGCUUUGUAGAUUGUCGUGGUCAUGUCUACUUUGAGCCCUUCCUCCUUGACCUUCUGAAUCUCUCGAGUGACUCGCUCGAUCUUUCUUCGCAAUUCCUCCUCAGUGGGCUCCGUCUGGACGUUCUUGCCUUUGUCCAUAGCGGUGAUUCAACUUUCCUGAGAUGAUAGAGCGGUAUUUAGGAUUUAUGAUAUGGAUUUUGUGUGAGAAACUUGAGACUUGGGACUUUUGUUCGGACAUUUGUAGUGUUGGCUUCUGUAUACUCUUUGGAAUUUUGGCUAGGAGUGGGUUUACGAUAUCCUCAAUCAAAGCGAUAUAACACAUAAACAUUUAAACAAAUAUAUCGUGUCCUAAACAUGCAUGUGACCCUUUUGUGCCAAGGGUAGGCCUAACGAAUUGAAGGAUGUAUAUGCUUUUUUAAACCCGAUUAUUAUCCCCCACAAUAUUUCAUUAAUAGCAUCCAAAAUGUCUGAUAAACGUAAAACAGAAAAUAGUCCUGAAAAAUAAAUUACAAAACAAAGUACAAAUAAAACUGUCCCACGCAGGGAAUGGUAAAAAUCAUGCCUCCUCUGCUCCUUCGCCAAGUCUGGUCCUCUUGGCGAUGUUGACCUCUUCCCACAUGGCAUAUCUAUUCGCUCAAAGAUGAUCUCUUGCCAAUCGAGCUCCUUCUUGAUGACUGAAUCCCUCUAUCGAUUGAAUCUGUCGCUCCAUGCUAUCAUCUAACUCUGUCAUGCAUUGUCUGGUCCUUCGCAGUUCUUGUUUCAAUCGAGCUAUGACUUUGGCAUCUUCGGAAUGACGACGUUGAUGCUCUAAUUCACUCUUAUCAAAAAUCUCUUGAAGGCGGUGAAGUCGGACUUGAUGUUUGGCUCCAACAUCGGCAAUAAUGUGAGGAACGUUCGAUCCAGGCUCAAUUGUUCCAGCGAGACUCUUUUUCAACCAUUCUUUGUACUCCCUCGAACAUUUUGGACGAAACCUAUCUGGUACAGGCUCACCCAACACUCUUUGAGAUCUCCACAUCCUACGCAUGUCUUCGGAAAAUGCCACUCGCCCAUUCUCGUGGUCAGUUACAAAUUUCCUCAUAUCUGCAAUCUGGGGCAACUCCUGUUUCCCUCCUAGUUGCCUCAGCACUCGACCGGGGGCGUAUGGCCUAGUUCCUCUUAACCCAGCAAAUACCAAAUAAGGGACCUUUUCAGCUCGAACCACCAUAUUCUUAGUUACCACCAAACUAUCUAUCGACCAUUGUACGUCUUCUUCUCUCAACCCUCGAAGCCUCGGAUACCAAAAACUCUCUCCUCCAGUCUUGUUGCAACGAUUGUGGUACAACCACCAGUCAUGACUAUGUAGCUCGUCGGAUCGUCUUAAGGGAUCUGGUUCUUUUGGGUUGUGAGUUUUGAUUAAAUGAUGCAUCAUCCACCACUGUAGUAUCAGAUUACACCCUUGAAAGAAGCGUUCUCCGUUCUGACACUUGUCUAAAGCCCUGUAGAUGUCGGCCAGAAUCAUAGGCGCUAAAGUGUAAUACUUCAUCGAUGUUUUGUAAUCCACUCCAUGAAAAAUGUCAUGAGUAACCAUAAACAUACUAGGAUGAAUAGUGUAUUUUGGCCCUUGGGGAAAAACCAUCGUGCCGAGCAAACAUAUCGCAAAUGCAAGGGGACGCGCCUCUUUCCAUUUUUCUUUCGAGACGAACUCGUCUUCAUGUUUCUCAUAAAACCUUGCACGCCCAAAUCGAUAAUAUAACUUUCUAAAAGGUAUAUUCGGACCAGGGAGUUUGUCCAUCCACUCGGCUUUAACCAAUGACAACUUCUCUUUAAUUUUGGCGAAAUCCCAUGUUAUAGGAUUCAGGAGAUCUGUAUCUGGAUGUCGUUUCCUUUUGUUGCACAUGGCGACGCUUUCAUAACUGGUGAGGAUUUCUUCUAUAGUCGGCGUCAACUCUACUUCCCCGAAUCGAAAAACCAUAUUCUCGCUAUCCCAGAACUUCACCAUCGUUCCAACUAAGCCAGGCCAUGCAUUCAUCUCUAACAACGACGGAAGAUGACCUAUGUGUUUCUGAACGACCCUUUUAUCAUCGUUGUUCAUGAACCUCCACCACACUUUGAGGAAAGGGUCGGGGAUAGUAACCAUUCUUGUCUUCAAAGGUUUGUGUGCCGAAUUAAUCCUACAAAAAAUAGCGAACAAAAUUUAGUCGACCCCCACCCCGUAGACAAUAAAUCAUUUUUUUUAAAAUGCAUAUACAUCCUUCAAUUAACACAUAAGCAUGAUUGUCCAUUUUUGGCAAUUUAGGCCAAAUAGACGCAAGGUGGGCUUCUAAUGGACCCAACACGCCUUGGGCGUUGGGUCGUCUUAGUUCAAAUGCUCUUACGUUUGGGAUUUUGGCUCGGCUCUACGCUAGUUGACUAAGAGUGGCUUUUGAAAGGACCGGGAACCCAAACGGACAAUUUGGGCUGAAACUCGCAACAACCAUUGGACGCCUAACGAACCAAUAAAUUGCCGCUAAUUUCGAAAUAGGGUGAGUAUAAAAAGUUCGGCUGCGGUUCCGCAAACCGUCCUUUAAUAUACUAUAUAUACAUAUUGGAAAUAUGCCAUGAGAUAAAAUGCAAUAUUUCAAUUUAAACAAUAUAAACAGCAAAUUACAAGUUAGUCAAAUAAUUAGUCUUAGGGUUAGAAUCCUCCGUCCCCAGCGGAGUCGCCAUUUCUGUUUUAUCGAAAAAAGGGUGAUUUUCGAAAAGAGUUUGUUUUUAGACUUUUAGGAGUCGCCACUUAAUUUUUAAGAAAAAUCAAGAAAACUUUUAUUUUCAAAAGACUUAAUAGAAAAAUCGAUUGAAAAUAAUUAAAGGAGUUCGGGAUUCCUAUUAGCGUCUUAGGAAGGUGUUUAAGGCACCUAAGACACUCCGUUAAAUACGGUUUUCCAACGACUAACUUAUUUGACUAUUUGCUUUAACUUUUACAAAUCGAAGUUUAAACUCUACAAAAGUUUCUUAGCCGAACUUUACAAAUUUGAAACAUUUGUUAUCUAUCUUGUAAUCUGUGAAUCUAUUCCAAAGUCAAAUUUCUUUAGAAUUUCAUCCAAACAAGUUACAAGUUUUUCCACGCUUAUCCUUUUAAAAUUCCAUUAAGGUUAAACCUUUUAAACUUUACUCUAAGCAAUUUUCAAACUUAAACAUCCAUCUUUGAUAUUUCAGUUUUUAGUUUUAAUCUUGAUAAAAUAGAAGGCGUUCGGCGGGGUUUGGAGUUUCUAAUCCUAGCCUAUACGACAUUCCAAACAAAAAUAACAUAAACAAAUAAUAAAGAGGGAGAGAGAGAGAGAUUCGGGUCCAAGUUUCGGAUGCUGUUCGCCUUGACCGAAACUCGAAUCCACCUGCUUUUUGGGUUUUUAACCCAUUCACCUGUCCUAAUCUAAUAUACGAAAUAAAAUGCGAGAAAAGCAAAACAAGAGGGCUUAUGCCCAUUACAAAAACAAAAAUACAAAAAUAUAAAGUAAAGAAAUUUCUAAUCUAUUUCUUCAAGUUUCUCCAAUCUUGGGGACCUGUUCGUCAAUAUCGCAGGUUGAUCGACUCGAUGAAGGAAGUGAGUAGGGCCUCCAUGGCCCAGGAAGAUGCAAGGAUAAAAUGGAGUCCCAAAUGGACUCGAGAGAAAGUUUCCCGUGCAACAAAGUAGAAAUAAAUUAGCAUAUGAACGAUGAUGCAAAUCCGAUAUAUUUAGAAUGAAAAGCAAACAAAUAGAAAAAAUAAAAUAAAAAAAGAAACUUUAUAAGAAAAGCAAAUGAAAUUCAAGUUUUAAAAUCAACCAAAAUUAUUAAACUGACCAAAUCUAAACAGUAGCAACUUAAACUCUUCGUCUAAACCGAUCCUAACACUAAAACUAACAAUAAACAAACGUGAAUCAUCAGAUCUAUGAUAUACAAAGACACUAGCUGACCGUAAACCAAAUGGUGAACGGCAUCUUAAGGAGAAUAACUUGACUGCAUUGUUAUUCGAAGCUUUACAUUCUGUUAAUAUGGCAUGCAAAGAGUUGUUUAAGUUGUCCCUUAAAUCCUCAUGACAAAUCCCAGCAAACAAGAUGACACACCUCGCAAGUUAUAACUAGAACUCGAACCAUAGAUAAACCACAUAAUUGCUACUCCAAGACGAGAAAGAUACAUACAUCGAACGGAAUGUUGAAACCAUUGUUUAGCAUGCUAUCAAAGAGAACUAAAUAGAUGACGUGGGCAUGAAAUCAACACCUAAAGGUAAGAAUUUGCACGAUUUCACGUGACAAACUAGAAACAUAGUAAAUUGUGGUGAUAUACAAAAUUGACAGUAUAUAUGUUUGUAUUCGAAUACUUCGACAUAACACGACCCCAGAAUUAAACAGACAAACAGCAGAGGAGGGGACGACAUCACAUUAUCAAGCCAUAGAUCCUAACAUAGAUAUUACGCUAAUAAACCACAGGAAAAUCUUUAAAUCGCGUUAACUUGAAGUUAGGUUAAUAGAAAUUGCCUUCGACCUCAAAAUAAGUUCGAAACUCCAUCAUCCAUCAUCAACUGUUGGGAGAGAAAAAGGAAACUCAUUCACAUUUCAACAAACACGCAAGAAUACUAUUGCGUCAUAGGAAAAUUUUCAAUUUAAAUGAGAAAGAUAACAAAAACACGUAAAGUCUGCAAUGAGAGCUCUAACGAUGGACAACCAACACGAAGAGAAAAGAAAUCUAGAUAAAGUUUUCAUUUGAAUGAGAUAAAACAAGAACAAAUGGGUUAUAGAUGCGACAAGAAAAACAAACAAAUCUCAGCAAACAUAUUCAAUAAUAUCGACCCAACAGCAACAAAACAACCAGUGGACACCCGGCAAAGGUUAUCCGCCCUCAAACCAUCAUAUUAAGAUCAAGAAAAGAAGGGAGUUGCGUGGAGGGGCGUUUACAUGUCGAGGAGCAGCGAUGGGGACGGCGAGAAAAGGGGCGACUGCGACACCGGGAUGAGCUCCGAACUGUUUCGAAGACGAAUCGACAAGCGAAGGAGACGGAAUCGUGAUUUCAGUUUCCUUAGUUGUCUAACUCCCUCUCUCUUUGGUACUCUUACGAAAAAACGACAGCGAAACAAAACAAAUUCUCAACUUUCCAAAACAGUGCUCGACUAUUCUUAUAUAUUCAAGAACCAUAAAAAAAUUUUCAAACCUUAAAAUCUCUCCAAUACUCAAAACUCUAACAAUUUCAACUCCGAAAAUUCCAACCAAAAAUCGCCAAAGUUCUAACCCCUUUUCUUGAGGACGAAAGGGGUUUAUAUAGGGUUUUCGGAAGAGGGAAGGGCGAGAACGUGACUAGGCCCAUCUGAAUUCAAAAUUUGAAUCCCUCCCAUUAAUGGUGCACCAUCUUUUUUCUGAAAAAUUCGCCCUUUUGGAAACGGAAAAAGGGGAAGGGAUGGCUCCAAUCGUCCUUGAGGGGAGACGUGGAUCGAUCUCGCGCCUCAAGGACGAAGACGCAGGUCUGCUACAGCCGAAUACGGGUCUGCCACCGCCGAAAGCAGGUCUGCUACGAGGCGUACUGGCGAGGAGAGAGGAGAGGAGAGAGAUGCGUGAAGGAGACGCGGCUGCUGGGUUGUCGCGUCUGGUUCUUUCAUUUGUUCUGGGGAUUUUGUGGGUUUCCGUUGGGAUAAACGCGUGAGGGAGAGAGGGAUAGAGACGCGAGGUGUUGGGAGAGGGGGAAGAUUUUUCCAUUUUUUGGAGUACUGCUCCUCUGCGUUUUUCUCUGUUCUUUUCUGCGUUUGCAGCGUUUGGGGAAGAAGGAGAAGGGAUGGGUUUGGGCUGGAGCGGGUAAGGGAGAAAUGGGCUGGAUCGGGGGAUUUAGAAGGAGGGACGUUUGGGCCUGGGGGGAAUGGAUUAUAGGAUUUGGGCCGCUCAUUCUUUGGGCCUGGGGCGGCUGGAAAUUGAGGGGAAAAGGGGUUGGAAGAGGGAUUAGGUGGGCCUGGAAAUUAGGAAUAGGGUGAGGGGUCCAAAUUUGGCUCUUCUAAAUUAAAUGGCCAAAAGAAUCCAUUUUAAAAUAAUAGCCAAUUGAUUUAAAAUGAAUUCGGUAUAAAUUUAUUAACGAGCCUAUUUAAAGUAAACUAGUUUGAUAGAAUACAUUCUAAACUUAAGAUAUACAUAUAUACAUAUACAUAUACAUAUAUAUAUAUAUAUAUAUAUAUAUAUAUUUUACUCAUAAAAUAUACAAACUAUAUAUACAAUUACGUAAUAUAUAUAUACUUACCUAACGUUAUGAUAAAUAGCAUAAGCUCCGUAUAUUAUAUAUAUUUUUUACUUAUAUAUAUAUAUAUAUAUAUAUAUAUAUAUAUAUAUGCAUAUAUAUAUAUAUAUAUAUAUAUGUAUACAUAUAUAUACAUAUAUAUAUACUUUUUUUUUGAAUUUUCACAAGAUUUAUAAAACUAAUUAACUUAAAUAAUUUGAAAAACUCACGAAGCUCGAUAAUUAAUUUAUACCGAUGUGGGUCAAAAUUGGGUGUCAACAACCAAAAAGUAAUCUAUCAGUAUAAAAUAGUGUCAAUAAUUCGUUUAUUUUGGAUUAGAGGGAGUAAUCCACUCAUAUGUUGUUAGCUUUAUCGUUUCAUGUAGAGAAACAGUCACCAAACACGAUUAAUGUGUGCCUAAAAUAAUGUUUUAUAGACCAUAUCAAUAAUAACAUAUUUAACUUAGGAAAACAGUCUCAAAACAUGAUUUAUUUGUGUGCUACAAAUAAAGUUUUACUAUAUCAACAUCAAAAUAUUUAAUGCAGGAGAAUAGUCACAAAACAUGAUUUGCAUAAUUCAACAAUAGGAAAAAGACAGAAAAUAGGGCUAAUUAGUGAAGAGAUUAACAAAAAGUAGAUGGUGACUCUUUCUUUUGAUCACAUCAAGUUAAUUGGCGUUAAUUAAUUACUUAAUUAUGACUAUUAUCACUAUACCUUUGAAAAAAAUUGAUAAUUCAUUUCAUUUUUAUAAAAAAAUAUUAUAUUCAAUAGAAGAAAAACAUGGCUAGUACAACUUUCACUAUAUUUGUUGGAUCCAUUAUUGACUCUCUAGGGUCGUGUAAGUCCCCGUUAAUCUGCACUAGAAUCUAGUAAGUGAUUAGUAAUUUGCUCUAGAUUGAUUUAGACAGAAUUACUACUUACAUAUGAAACAUUAAAUGUAAACAUUAAUUUUCUUUCUUGUAAACAGAUAAAAAAUUAUAACUUACAUAUGGUUUUAUUGUUUGCAUUUCCUUGCUGAGAGAAGUCCCAAAAGCAUUUUUUAACUUAAAAGAAAUAGAUACAAUUAACUAUGCUUAGUCGAAUCAUAUAUAGUGAGCACUAAUAUCUAACUUUAGAUAUGCCAACAAUAAAAUUCAGCCACAUAAAUAAAGACAGAGGGAGUAACAAUUAUUAAUUAUCUUAGUUGGUAGGCAUGUUUUAUUAGUAAUUACGGAUAUAUCCUUUAUUCCCUUCAAUUAGGUACAAUAAUCCCUAUCAAUAAUAGGCCGGAAUGGUGGGGAAGGAGGCCCUCCCUACUUCAAUGGAAAGGGGGGAAUCGUCAUUUCACAGCCGCUCCUCUCCUUACAGUCAAGUGACUUUCACUCCCAAGAAGUCGGAAUAGGAGUCAAUCGAUGACAGAAAAAAUUGCCUAAUGUAUGAUCUCUUCUGGAAAGAGUUCUAUCUCCCUAGGUUUGAAUUCCUCCAGGAGAUAACCAACCAUCUUCCCUUUAAGAUAGGGGUUAGGGAGGUGAAAUUGAAGUGGGGGUCCUUCUACAAGGGAGUUUUGCUCCAAGGGCUAUGGAUCGGGGCGAGGGUCGAAGCGGGCGAGUUGGUUUGUGAGGGUAUACAUGUGCGAGCAUGCUAUUCAUGAAAGUCUUACCUAUAGAGUAAGUAGGGCCGGACUGGGACUGCUUUAAAGGAGAGAUUCCUCUUUUAGCCAUCGGUCGACUUACUCCCAAUCCUGCGAAACAGAAGUCCUAUACCACGUCUGAAGAUAGAAAUGCUCUCGUAGGAUCUUUUACUUCAAUAGUAGAUAUCAGGCCUUUCAACAAGUUAGUUCACGAAUUCUCCUAUUUCAAUAAGAGACGUGUUUGGGCCCGCUUUGAAGACAGCCAGGAAGUACUAGCACAAGAUCCAGUAUUUGAAAAGGUUCUAUACCCAUAAGGGUUCCAAGCUUCAACCCACUGCUCGAGCAACUUGCUUAUAUAUUGACUUUUCUUGAAAGGGUUCUUUUCAAAUGAAAGAAUUCAUUACAGCGGUUCCGGAAAGACAGAUUAGACUUGCCCCACCCAGGCAUAAGCAGGAAGAAGACUGUCGAAUUUCAAUACACAGAGAGAGUAUCUCUUGAAAAGCUUCUAAGAAAGCCAGCCUAAUAAAAUGGGGACUUGCUUAACAGCGAAAGAAGGAAAUUUGGUUAAAAUGGGGGCUGCUUUCUCGCACUUCCCAAUCUACGUUCAAGCACACCAAUUCCAGCGGAAUUUGAAUUCUAAAGGGGUCGAAGACGGAACAGAAGAGGCUGGCUGAUACGAUCAGGUAGGGCUAACUCAAUGGAAUUCAUAACCCUUUCAAUCUUCUCCUUAUUUCCUUGGUCGGGCAGCAGUGUUCUCACUUCCAGGAAGAGCCACAUCAGGGAGGAUGGUUGCUGAAAGAAAAAUUCAAUAAAAGCAUGAUAGCGGAAUGAGUUAGAGCUAUGUUCAACUGGGUAAACCCGCGCAAACAAAAAUUCUUUCUGAUUCGGGAUGAUAAUCGCAAUGGCGAGGGUCUGUUACCUACCAUAAGUAGGGACUCACAGAAGACUGUAAACUACUUUUAAAGGAAAGACAAAAGAAAUUGUGAACCUAAGCCAAGAGCCCACUUCAGAUUCAUAACAUCUUCCACCCUCUGAAUCAAAGAUUUACUCACUGCCAACAAAAACAUACUAUAUUUACUAGUUUAAAUCGAUUCACUAAGCUAGUUAAAAGCCUUAUUAGGCAAUUCCACCAGUGUGUAAUACAUUUGUUUGAAGAAAGCCUCCACUUCAAUUGGUAUUUUUUCACGAAAAGCAGACAUGAGAUAAGAAAUCCAGUGUUUCACUAAGAUUUCGAAUAGCGGUCCCGAAUUCAAGUUGAUUUUAUUUAGACUCUUCCUCAGAGAAAGACGAUCAAACAAUUCUCAAUCAUGGUCCUUGCGGAUCGGAUCAUCCAUAUAAUAUACAAAAAGAAACUCCAGAUAUUUGAGAUCUUUCUCUUUGAAUAAGAUCUCAAUUCCAGCGACGGUUUCAUUAGAUUAUCUUACAACUAGAAACCCUCUUCCGAUCCAGUUCCUCCACCAACGCGAAUCCCAGUUAGAUUCAGGCAUGCUACACUUUUUAGUUAUUGGGAGAACCCAAGUACUCUCUUUCGGAUUCAGGAAACAACUCUCAGAGAUCUUUUUUCCUUUGGGAAGAUACAGGAGCGAAACAAUCAACCUAUUGAUAUUGGAAGACCCAACGGAUUCUUCCACUGUAUCAUUUCUGGGUCCAACGGAAUUCAUAGGUAUAGGAAGAAGCCCUAUCCAAUAGAGAUUUUUUCUUUCGACCAUAUUUCGAUUGUUAAUACGAUAUAUAAGGACCGCUACUACGAAAAGUAUUACACCCUUGAUCGUGAAAGUAGGAUACUCCAAAUUCGGGGGUCAAAAGAGUUUUAGAAAACAUUAAUUAUGCUUAGUACCCGAUUUAUAUAUACAGGGGGAUCAAAAUGAAAAUAAACUUAUAAUACAUGGACUAAAAUUGUUAUUUCCCCUAAAUAGAUAUAUAUGUGAAUAAGAAAAUUGUUGCUAGAGGACAAAUAUAUUAAUAACAAUAAUUAAUUAAAUAUGCCAUUGUGGAAAAGUUAAGGAAGCGUAAGUAACUAGUCAAACUAAUUACACUAACAAGCACAUCUUUUUCUUAUUGGCUAUAUAAAAACGUUUUAGUAACUAUGUUUUUUUUAAUCACUCGUUUGGCUAUAAAUAGGUCAAGGAGGAUAGACACUCCUCAACCCAAACAAAAGAAAAUAAAAGGAAGGUAAAAAGAAUCCAUAAUAUGGCUGUUCAUAAACAAGUUAGUUUCCUUGCUUACCUACUACUUGUUCUUGGUAAGAUUUCCCUUUCUCUAAUUUUCUUAUCUUUAGUUUCUUUGUUGUGGCAUAAACUACAAGUGUUAGUAUUUUUUUUCAUUGUUGUGGCAUAAACUACAAGUGUUAGUAUGUUUUUUUCAUUGUUGUGGCAUAAACUACAAGUGUUAGUAUGUUUUUUUCAUUGUUGUGGCUUAAACUACAAGUGUUAGUAUGUUUUUUUCAUUUUUGUGGCAUAAACUACAAGUGUUAGUAUGUUUUUUUCAUUGUUGUGGCAUAAACUACAAGUGUUAGUAUGUUUUUUUCAUUUCACAGCUUUCUCCUUGUUAUAUUUGUUUGUAGGAUUAUUGCUACUUGUAAGCGCGGUGGAACAUGUUGAUGUCAAGCCUUGUACUAAAGAAUGUGGUCAUCUUGGGUUUGGGAUAUGCCCACGUUCACAAGGAAGUCCGCAAAAUCCCAUAUGCACCAAUUGUUGUUCAGGUUUUAAAGGUUGCAAUUAUUAUAGUGCUGAUGGGACUUUUAUUUGUGAAGGACAAUCUGACCCAAAAAAACCAAGAGCUUGCCACUUAAAUUGUGAUCCACAUAUUGCCUAUUCAAAGUGUCCCCGUUCAGGAGGAAAGACGUUUAUUUAUCCCACUGGAUGUACCACGUGUUGCACGGGAUACAAAGGUUGCUACUAUUUCGGUAAAAAUGGCAAGUUUGUUUGUGAAGGAGAGAGUGAUGAACCCAAGGUAUGUACGUACCCUGGAAUGUGACCCUAGAGUUGCAUACAUGAUUUGUCCAUCUUCUGGAUUGACCAAACUUAAUCAUGUUUGUGUUAAUUGUUGCACUGCAGGAGAGGGUUGCAAACUCUAUGGAUAUGAUGGAUCUUUAAUUUGUACUGGGGAGCCUCAGAGCUAUAUAUCUACAGCAUAAGGCAUGAUGCAUUAAUAAUAUGUGUUGUACUUUUUAAUUUAUAAUGUAUGAAAUAAAAGGAUGCACACAUGUACAAUGACAUGCUAAUCAUUAUAAUGUGGGCAUCAAAGUUGUGUGCU
rnacentral:lncRNA from 1 species